rnacentral:rRNA from 1 species
ACUCCUACGGGAGGCAGCAGUAGGGAAUAUUGGUCAAUGGGCGGAAGCCUGAACCAGCCAUGCCGCGUGCAGGAAGACGGCCCUCUGGGUUGUAAACUGCUUUUACACGGGAAGAAAAGGCCCCUGCGGGGGACAUUGACGGUACCGUGGGAAUAAGCCACGGCUAACUACGUGCCAGCAGCCGCGGUAAUACGUAGGUGGCGAGCGUUAUCCGGAUUUAUUGGGUUUAAAGGGUGCGUAGGCGGCCCGUUAAGUCGGUGGUUAAAGGUGGCGGCUCAACCGUUCCACAUGCUGCCGAUACUGACGGGCUUGAGUUAUCAGAAGGCGGGCGGAAUUUCCGGUGUAGCGGUGAAAUGCAUAGAUACCGGAAGGAACCCCUAUUGCGAAGGCAGCUCGCUGCAGGUACACUGACGCUGAUGCACGAAAGCGUGGGGAGCGAACAGGAUUAGAUACCCUGGUAGGAUAGCG